rnacentral:rRNA from 1 species
AGUUUGAUCCUGGCUCAGAUUGAACGCUGGCGGCAUGCCUUACACAUGCAAGUCGAACGGCAGCACGGGAGCAAUCCUGGUGGCGAGUGGCGAACGGGUGAGUAAUAUAUCGGAACGUGCCCAGUCGUGGGGGAUAACGCAGCGAAAGCUGUGCUAAUACCGCAUACGAUCUCUGGAUGAAAGCGGGGGACUCGUAAGAGCCUCGCGCGAUUGGAGCGGCCGAUAUCAGAUUAGCUAGUUGGUGGGGUAAAGGCCCACCAAGGCGACGAUCUGUAGCUGGUCUGAGAGGACGACCAGCCACACUGGAACUGAGACACGGUCCAGACUCCUACGGGAGGCAGCAGUGGGGAAUUUUGGACAAUGGGCGCAAGCCUGAUCCAGCAAUGCCGCGUGCAGGAUGAAGGCCUUCGGGUUGUAAACUGCUUUUGUACGGAACGAAAAGGUCUGCCUUAAUACGGUGGGCCCAUGACGGUACCGUAAGAAUAAGCACCGGCUAACUACGUGCCAGCAGCCGCGGUAAUACGUAGGGUGCGAGCGUUAAUCGGAAUUACUGGGCGUAAAGCGUGCGCAGGCGGUUAUAUAAGACAGAUGUGAAAUCCCCGGGCUCAACCUGGGACCUGCAUUUGUGACUGUAUAGCUAGAGUACG